rnacentral:rRNA from 1 species
CAGCCGCCGCGGGAACACGGAGGGAGCUAGCGUUGUUCGGAAUCACUGGGCGUAAAGCGCACGUAGGCGGCUAUUCAAGUCAGGGGUGAAAGCCCGGGGCUCAACCCCGGAACUGCCUUUGAAACUAGAUAGCUUGAAUCUUGGAGAGGCGAGUGGAAUUCCGAGUGUAGAGGUGAAAUUCGUAGAUAUUCGGAAGAACACCAGUGGCGAAGGCGACUCGCUGGACAAGUAUUGACGCUGAGGUGCGAAAGCGUGGGAGCAAACAGGAUUAGAUACCCCCGUAGUCCCUGUCUCUUAUACA